rnacentral:lncRNA from 10 species
UAAUGUAGCAAGGUCAAAAAAACACAUCUAUUUAGUUUGAAUUAUUAGAAGUAUAUUAAAUUUACAUUUAUAUACACAACACUGUUUUGUUUUGCUCACUAGAAUCAUAAUAUACUUCAUGAUUUUAUUACUUUUUAGUAUGUGGCCAGUUACAUACAUUGUUAGUCAUCCCUAAAGCAUUUACUCAGCAGUUACUGUACAUAGCACUGAAUUUAGUAAUGUAUAAGACAUAGUACUUUCUUUGGGGAAGUAACAAUCUAGAACAACAAAUAAGACAAACAAGUAUGAAAAUGAUAUUAUAAAGUAGUAUGAGAAUGUAUUGAAAUAGGAAUACAGAAAAUAGUGCUAUAAAGUAAAAUAAUGGUUAAUAUUUACUCCAGAAGCUGAAAUCACUAAACUGCAUGAUAGAACUAAAAGGGACCUUAGACACCAUCUAGUCUGACACUUUAAUUUUAUAGCUGAAGAGACCUUUGCUAACAAAUUAAAUGACUUAUCUAAAGCAACAAAUCUCAUAAGUGGCAGAAUGGAACUAGAACUCUGGCAUCUACAGUCUUGGCUCAAUGUAAUUGUAAAAAAAGAUGUGACCUUAGGAGAAGGGAAGAGUUGCAAGGGAAAGGGACUUGAGGUAGGGAAUACAACAGAUUCAAAACACGAUCAGUUUAGUUGCAGCAAAGCAUUUGUGUUGAAAACUGGUAGAACAUAGGAUUGAAGGAACAAGGGUUGAUGUCAUGGAGAACUUGGAAUGCCAGGCUGAGUUUAGACAAUGGGAAUCCCUAGAGGGUUUGGGUAGUGACAUGAUGAAACUGCUUUAUAAUAAGAUUAAUUCUGGGGUAGAACUUAGUGUAGAAAAUGUAGAAGAGUUUUAUCAAAUGAGCUUGAUGUGAACAUGCCAGUGUCAUGAGGAUACCACUGUACAGUCUCCACACUGUAUCUGUGAACAUCAGGAUGAUCUCUACAAAACAGCAAUCAAAAUUUACAUUAACUGACUUAUAAAACAAAAGUUAACAGAAGACUUCUGCAACCCUAUGCAGAUACAACCGUGAUGCUUUUGGAUUCCUUAAGAUGAAGGUUUGGGACCUUAAAACAUUUGUGGUGCUAUCUGAAGGAAUGAGAACACAAAGAAGGAAAGUCUUAAGUGCCAGCUCUGGCAUUAAAACAGCUGCAAAAAUACAAGAACUAUAGUGCCUACUCAUAUUUCCUUUUUUUCUCUGUAAAUAUUCAUAUAUUUUAACUAAUUUUCUCUUUCCUCUCUUACCUUUAUUAUUUUUAUAGGUUAACUAUAUCAUUGAGUCCACAAAUUGUAUAAUACUGAUAUAGGAUAAAUUAAACUAGUGGAAAAAUGAACAUGACCUUGAAAUGGAGCCAGGUGUGGUAACUAAAUCAACUUAGGAUCAUCACCCUUUGGGGAAGAGGAUGAUCACCUUUUUGGCUGUAUAGUGAAGAUUUGCAUUAGGUUAGGCUGGAACAUUUUUUUAAAAAACAGUAAUUAUGGGAAGAAAGGUGUAUACGCAUGCUGGACAGCCAAAUGGGUGGAUUGUAGGGAACAUGUGCCUUUUUUUCUUGGCUGAUGAGCAUUCAAACUCCUAUUUAGAGGAAAUGCCCUUUGUUUUACUGAAAAUAAGAGCUCUACCUCUUCUUACAGAAAGCAAGGGACUCUAGACAUUCUCUUUUCCUAGGAGAGUUAGCCAUUAUUCAAAGCUGAGGAGUUGAGAGUCUGCGUUGGUGACAUAUAGCAAAACCCAAACUAAUGUUCCUGUGGUGUGACCCUGACUGUGUUCUCUAUCCUGACUUCUUUUGUUUUCUGCUCAUUUUCUAAGUCUGAUUCUCCCAUCUUCCUGACAGUUAUGUGAGAUACUAAAUAUUCUUCCAAUAAAUUUCGCUUAAGAUAAGCAGAUUGAUUUCCUUUUGCUCCUAAGAAUAUUGACUUCUACAGAGAUUUUUCCAGUGAUACUACUUUUAAAUGAAACAAAUUUUUAAUGUAGUGAUAACAAAUAAAAGCUCACUUAUAUUUUAAGUUUAAAUUUUAAAAUAGGAUAUUUUAUUAUGUUACUAUAUAUGUUCUGUUAUUUUCAUUUAUAUUUAAUAAGAAUUUUGGUAGAGGAAAGGAAUCUUUUUAGUGCUCAAGGACAAACACAUUAAGUAUACUAAUAGUAAGCAUCAGAAAAUAGUCUAAGUCACAUUAACUUAAUAAUAGUCUUUAUUGAAAUUAUUUUUAAAUUGGAUUGUAAAUCCUUCAGAUGUAUAAAAUGUUAUUAUAACUCAUUUUGUAAAGAUGCAUACUAUAUGUCCAUUUUCAAAUUCAAAGUCACACUUUUAAAUAUAGAAUCUGAAUCCAAGAAUAAAAUCACAGUAAAACAAGACUGACACAUUACGCAUUUACUUAUGUCACAAACCAAAACAAAGCAAAUCACAGUUCCUCACGGAAUAUUAUGUAGCACGUAGAAUAGGUGAAAAUACUAUUUUGCUAUGUAACAAAAUAAAUUUAAUGUUAAAAUG